UACGUAGGGUGCGAGCGUUGCCCGGAUUUAUUGGGCGUAAAGGGCGCGUAGGCGGCCACGCACGUCCGUUGUGAAAUCGCCCGGCUCAACUGGGCGGGGUCAGCGGAUACGGUGUGGCUCGAGCAAGCUAGGGGGCAAUGGAAUUCCCGGUGUAGUGGUGGAAUGCGUAGAUAUCGUGAGGAAGACCAGUGGCGAAGGCGGGUCUCUGGACAGUUCCUGACGCUGAGGCGCGAAGGCCAGGGGAGCAAACGGG
rnacentral:rRNA from 1 species